AUUGAACGCUGGCGGCAGGCCUAACACAUGCAAGUCGAGCGAGCGGCGGACGGGUGAGUAAUGUAUGGGGACUGCCCGAUAGAGGGUGAUAACUACUGGAAACUGUGGCUAAUACCGCAUACUAUCGGAUAACCCAUAUGGGAUUAGCUAGUAGGUGGGGUAAAGGCUCACCUAGGCGACGAUCUCUAGCUGGUCUGAGAGGAUGAUCAGCCACACGGGGACGGAGACACGGCCCAGACUCCGACGGAGGCAGCAGUGGGGAAUAUUGCACAAUGGGCAAAAGCCUGAUGCAGCCAUGCCGCGUGGAUGAAGAAGGCCUUAGGGUUGUAAAGUACUUUCAGCGGGGAGGCGUUACCCGCAGAAGAAGCACCGGCUAACUCCGUGCCAGCCGCCGCGGUAAUUC
rnacentral:rRNA from 1 species